rnacentral:rRNA from 1 species
GCAUAUCUAUACGCGAGGAAAAGAAACUAACAAGGAUUCCCUAGUAACUGCGAGUGAAGAGGGAAAAGCUCAAAUUUAAAAUCUGGCAGUCUCCGAUUGUCCGAGUUGUAAUUUAGAGAAGUGUUACCCGUGUUGGACCGUGUACAAGUUUCCUGGAAUGGAACGUCAUAGAGGGUGAGAAUCCCCGUCUUUGACACGGAUCCCAAUGCAUUGUGGUAUGCUCUCGAAGAGUCGAGUUGUUUGGGAAUGCAGCUCUAAAUGGGUGGUAAAUUCCAUCUAAAGCUAAAUAUUGGGGAGAGACCGAUAGCGAACAAGUACCGUGAGGGAAAGAUGAAAAGAACUUUGGAAAGAGAGUUAAACAGUACGUGAAAUUGCUAAAAGGGAAACGCUUGAAGUCAGUCGCGUUGGCCAGGGAUCAGCCUUCCUUUUGGUUGGUGUACUUCCUGGUUGAUGGGUCAACAUCAGUUUUGACCGGUGGAUAAGAGUGGGAGGAAUGUGGCAUCUUCGGGUGUGUUAUAGCCUCUUAUUGUAUACAUCGGUUGGGACUGAGGAACUCAGCACGCCGCAAGGCCGGGUUUUUAACCACGUUCGUGCUUAGGAUGUUGGCAUAAUGGCUUUAAUCGACCCGUCUUGAAACACGGACCAAGGAGUCUAACAUGCCUGCGAGUGUUUGGGUGGAAAACCCGAGCGCGUAAUGAAAGUGAAAGUUAGGAUCUCUGUCGUGGAGAGCACUGACGCCCUGUCCAGACCUUUUGUGACGGUACAGCGGUUGAGCAUGUAUGUUGGGACCCGAAAGAUGGUGAACUAUGCCUGAAUAGGGUGAAGCCAGAGGAAACUCUGGUGGAGGCUCGUAGCGAUUUCUGACGUGCAAAUCGAUCGUCGAAAUUUGGGGUAUAGGGGGCGAAAAGACUAAUCGAAUCCAUCUAGUAGCCUGGGUUCCUGACCGAAGU